rnacentral:lncRNA from 1 species
CCAAACCUUUUCCUUUUCUUCUCUCUCUCUCUUCUCUUUCCCCCUCUCUUGGCCGAACCCCCCCCCCCCUUCUUCUUCUUCUUCUUCUUCUUUCUUCCUUCCUCUCUUUUUUAGGGUUCCUUUUUGGCCGAGGGAGAAAGGGACCAAGCAAGGGAGAGCGAUAGAGAGAGGGAAAGCAAAGGGGGGUUCUGGUUUUUCCGUAGAUUUUGGGCUGAGAGAGAGAUGAGCUCGAGGGAGAGAGACCGAGAAGGAGAGUUCUGUGCGACUGAGGGAGAGCAGGGGAGGUUCAGCCGUGCAUGGGCUCGGUUAGAGAGUGAGACCGAGAGAGAGACCAAGGGAGUGAGAGAGAGAGUGAGUAGUCCGCUUCGUCUGUGUGAGAAAGAAGUAAGAGACUCGCGUCGCCGGAGGCCAGCCCACCAACCACCGCUCGCCACAACACCGCGCUAGCCCAGG